GCCUCGGUAGAUCAUGGUGGAUCGUCCCUGUUACUUUGACCAAUACCGAUUCUACAGCGGGAAGAUGAGGGUUCGAGUCCCUCCCGAGGCA